rnacentral:rRNA from 1 species
CUGAAUCCAUAGGUUAAUGAGGCGAACCGGGGGAACUGAAACAUCUAAGUACCCCGAGGAAAAGAAAUCAACCGAGAUUCCCCCAGUAGCGGCGAGCGAACGGGGAGGAGCCCAGAGCCUGAAUCAGUGUGUGUGUUAGUGGAAGCGUCUGGAAAGGCGCGCGAUACAGGGUGACAGCCCCGUACACAAAAAUGCACAUAUUGUGAGCUCGAUGAGUAGGGCGGGACACGUGGUAUCCUGUCUGAAUAUGGGGGGACCAUCCUCCAAGGCUAAAUACUCCUGACUGACCGAUAGUGAACCAGUACCGUGAGGGAAAGGCGAAAAGAACCCCGGCGAGGGGAGUGAAAAAGAACCUGAAACCGUGUAC